AAACGCAUGCUUUCUCUGUUGUUUGAGACCUGCCGAUAUGCAGACGGGAGCGAUGUUCAGGCACGAUCCAAUAGUUCGUAGGGGAGUGGGGUGUGGAGUUGUGUGCCUUUGAUCACGAACUUAUAUCCCCCAAACGUCCAUGCUUUAAUGAACCAGAACUUGAACAAUCAGCAAAAGUGCAUGAAGAAAUCCUACAGGAUGGUAAGUAUAGCAAGAAGUCUGUCCAGCACAAUUCGCCUAAAUGAUGGGGUGGAAAUGCCUAUGUUUGGUCUGGGUACAUGGCAGGCUAAAUCAGGUCCCAAUGGACCAGCAGAGAGAGCUGUGAUUCAUGCUCUUCAGAAUAACUACAAAAUGAUAGACACUGCAACACUUUAUGGAAAUCAGGCAGAAGUUGGAGUAGGGAUUAAGAAGUCAGGAGUCAAAAGAGAGGAUGUCUUUCUUGUAACCAAACUGUGGACCAAUGGCUAUGAGUCAUGUAAAGAUGAAUUCAACACAAGCCUAAAAGAGUUAGACUCAGGAUACAUUGACCUGUACCUCAUCCAUUCACCAUCAGAUGGAUAUGUGUUGGAGUCAUAUAAAGCUAUGAUGGAGUUCCAGCAGAAAGGUCUAGUCAGGUCCAUCGGAGUUUCCAAUUUUGGCAUUCACCAUUUAGAGGAGAUGAAGAAGGCUGGAGUUCCUACCCCUGCUGUCAAUCAAAUAGAGCUGCAUCCCUGGAUGAAGAGAUAUGAGUUGGUGAAAUACUGCCGAGAUAAUGGAAUAGCAGUCAUGGGAUACUCACCACUAGUGAAAGCUGAAAGGAUGAAAGACCAUACCCUUGUCAGUGUGGCAAAAACGCAAAACAGUAGGCCAGACACUAAUUCGUUACAGUGUCCAAAUGGGGUAUAUUACCAUUCCGAAAACAGUGAAGCCAGCUCGCAUCAUUGAAAAUGCAGAUGUCUUUGAAUGGUCCAUACCAGAGCAGAAAUGACAAAACUGAAUUCUUUCCCCGAAAACUCUUGUACAUGGAAUCCAGCUGAGAGCCUUUGGAAGGGAUAAAGGACAGAAGUCAAGUUUUAAUGUUCAUUGCAGCUUUAUCAUGAUCCACACUAUUAAUAUUAUUCAGCAUUAUAGACUGCACGUUGAGCCAUUUGUCCUCAAAAUGAUGAGUUGUUUGAAUAUACAUGACUGCUUUGUGUUGGCAUAUUUCGCUGUAGAUUUUUUUUUUUUAAUGAUGAGGUUAUUAUUGCUUGCCAGAAAGUGUGCCAAAGAUUAAACAAGAAAUUUUGAAUUUUUGAAAACA
rnacentral:misc_RNA from 1 species